AGUGAGCUGUGUGGCAGCGCUCUAACUUAAUGUUGAGUGAGGAAAGUCCGAGCACCAUAGGACAGAAUACCUGUUAACGGCAGGCGGAGGUGACUCUAGGGAUAGUGCAACAGAAAUAAACCGCCCAAUAUUUAUAUUGAGUAAGGAUGGAAAGGUGAGGUAAGAGCUCACCGGAACAUGGGAAACCAUGUUGCCGUGUAAACCCUAUUCGGUGCAACAUCAGUUGAGAAUAUCGUUUGUCCGACGCUCUCGAAAGAUGGCUUUAAUAUUACGGCGACGUAAUAUAUAGAUAGAUUGUCACGUAAACAGAACUCGGCUUAUAGGUUCAGU
rnacentral:RNase_P_RNA from 1 species